rnacentral:rRNA from 1 species
UACGUAGGUGGCAAGCGUUGUCCGGGUUUACUGGGCGUAAAGCGCACGCAGGUGGUCUGUCUAGUCCAGGGUGAAAUCUCCCGGCUCAACCGGGAGAGGUCUCUGGAUACUGGCAGGCUUGAGGGCAGCAGAGGAGAGCAGAAUUCCCGGUGUAGCGGUGAUAUGCGUAGAUAUCGGGAGGAAUACCAGUGGCGAAGGCGGCUCUCUGGGCUGUCCCUGACGCUGAGGUGCGAAAGCGUGGGGAGCGAACAGG